CUGGUCACUUUGGCAGCACGUAUACUAAAAUUGGAACAAUACAGAGAAGAUUGGCAUGGCCCCUGCCCAAAGGAUGACACGCAAAUUUGUGAAGUGUUCCAUAUUUUG
ensembl:snRNA U6 U6 spliceosomal RNA